rnacentral:rRNA from 1 species
AUGGCAGCGGGGUUCCGCCGGCGGCUCGCCUGCCUCACCGCCCCCAGGGCCUCCUCCUACCUCCGCCGCACGCGCCACAAGAAGCUCUCCUACGCGCGCGCGCGCUCCGCCAGCCUCCCCGGCCGCUUCCACCCGGUCGUCGCCGGCCUCCACGACGCCGCCAAUGACCUCCUCGGGUGGACCGAGGCGCCGGCGCAGGCUGGCACGGCGUGGAUCGGUGACGGUGUGGGAUACCUCGGCCGGCUCCUGGCCGGCCUCACCGACCUGCUCCACCACCCGCAGGCGCAGGACCCGCUCCGGCACUCGCGGCGCCCGGGCGGCAAGACGGCCGCGCCGUGGGCGGAGCGGCUGCUGGACGACCUCCUCCUCCUCGCCGACGCGCACGGCUGCUUCCGCGAGGCACUCCUGUCCUUGAAGCAGUUGCUCGCCGAGGCCCACGCCGCGGUCCGCCGCCGCGACGCCGCGCGCCUCGCAGCAGCGCUGCGCGCGCGCCGUCGGUCGGACCGCGACAUCUCGCGCCUCGCCUCCACAUUGCGCGCACUCUCCCACCGUUCUUGCUCCUCCGCCGCGUCGACGUCCGACUCCGGCGAGGCGGCGCUCGCCGAGGCCGUCGCGGCCGCCACCUGCGCCGCGGCGGCCGCCUCCGCCGCAAUCUUCGCCGGCCUCGCUUCCGCGUCCGCCUCCUCCGCAUCGCGCGCAUUGACCUCCCCGACAUCGGCCUCUUCUCCCGCGAAGGCCGCGCCGGUGUGGUGGGUGUCCGACCUCCUACGCUGGCGGCGGCGCACGGUGUCCGUCGCCGCCUGCGAGUCCUCCGGAUCGCCCCGUGGCACCAAGGAGACACCUUCGGAAGAAUGCUGCGACGAGGAGGAGGACGAGAGGAGGGCAGCCAUGGAACGGCUGCGGGGCCUCGAGGAGUGCGUCGUGGCCGCCGCGGACGGCUGCGAGCAGGUGUACCGCGCGCUCGUGAACGCGAGGGUGUCGCUGCUCAACGUCCUCACGCCCUGCUUUUGA